CGAGCACGCGCGUGUGGCAUAUCAAUAAGCGGAGGAAAAGAAACUAACAAGGAUUCCCUUAGUAACGGCGAGUGAAGCGGGAAGAGCUCAAAUUUGAAAUCUUCAAGGUUCUACCUUGACGAAUUGUAGUUUAUAGAAGUGUUUUCUGUUAGUAGGAGUGGCAAAAGUUCUUUGGAAUAGGACAUCAUAGAGGGUGAGAAUCCCGUAUUUGGUCAUUCCUUCUAGCGUUGUGAUACACUUUCAACGAGUCGGAUUGUUUGGGAAUGCAGUCCAAAAUGGGUGGUAAAUUUCAUCUAAAGCUAAAUAUUGGCGAGAGACCGAUAGCGAACAAGUACCGUGAGGGAAAGAUGAAAAGAACUUUGAAAAGAGAGUUAAACAGUACGUGAAAUUGUCAAAAGGGAAGCGUUUGACACCAGUGUUGUUUUUCCGAAAAUCAAUUACGAAUGUUUUGUUUCUGAGGAGUUAUGACUUCAUCGGCUUGCUCCUUUCUUUACGAAACCUUCUUAAUGCACUUUUCGGUUAACAAGUCAACAUCAAUUUCUUUUGUCGUAAAAGGGUAUGAGGAAGGUGGCUUUCUUUUCGGAGAAAGUGUUUAUAGCCUUGUGCCUCUACAAUCGGAGAGAUUGAGGUCUGCAGCGUAGAUCCUUCGGGGUUAGAUACGUUUGUGCUAAGUUAUAGCUUUUCAUAGACAACUUGUUGACUAUGUUUAGUCUUGUAGCUUACUCGCUGACGCUAUUUUACCUACGCUUAGGAUGUUGAUGUGAUACUGCGAGC
rnacentral:rRNA from 1 species